UCAUUUGAAGAAAUUGCCGCAACUUCCAGGCUUCGCCCUCUUCAGUCACACGUUAACGUGCUGGAAAAGAUGAAGCUAAUUACCUAUCAAAUUCGUCUCCCAUUGCAAUAAUUGUGAAUUAUCAACUGUUUCUCACUUCGAGAACUCGAAGCAUUGGCAGCUACUGCGACGAUUUUCCUUUCUCCGGCGGUGAUCGUCCUUCGAGUAUUCUAUGUCUCAGAUCUGACUCUAAUCGAGCUCGUACUCUUCAAGAAUGGAGUUUUGGGGUGGAUUUAGGAUCUGGGUCUUGUCCGUCUGCUUGAUUUUGCAAUGUGGAUAUGGGUUUUAUCUUCCGGGGAGUUACCCUCUCAAACAUAUUGUCGGUGAUGACUUGUCCGUGAAAGUUAAUUCUAUAACCUCUAUCGAUACCGAAAUGCCGUUUAGCUAUUACAGUUUGCCUUUUUGCCAACCUCAAGGCGGCAUUAAGGAUAGUGCUGAAAAUCUUGGCGAGCUUCUAAUGGGGGACCGGAUUGAGAACUCGCCUUAUCUGUUUAAGAUGUAUAAGAAUCAGACAGAUGUGUUUUUGUGUAAGACAGAUCCGUUGAGUGAUGAUCAAUUUAAGACCUUAAAGGAGAGGAUUGAUGAGAUGUAUCAGGUGAACUUGAUCCUGGACAAUUUGCCUGCAAUUCGGUAUACCAAGAAAGAAGGCUAUCAUUUGCGUUGGACAGGAUACCCUGUAGGAAUCAACUUCAAGGGUUCCUACUUUGUCUUUAACCAUUUGAAAUUUAAGGUUCUUGUUCACAAAUAUGAGGAGACCAAUGUAGCGAGCAUAAUGGGAACCGGUGAUGCUGCAGGUGUGAUCCGAACAAUCGGUAAACAGGAACCGGAUGCUCCGGGAUACAUGGUGGUUGGAUUUGAGGUUGUACCCUGCAGUCCUUUGCACAAUGUAGAUUUGGUUAAGAACUUAAAAAUGUACGAAAAGUAUCCAAAUCCUAUUCAAUGUGACCCUGCCAGUGUAUCAACGCAAAUUAAAAAAGGCCAACCUAUAGUGUUCACGUAUGACGUUACAUUUGAAGAGAGCGACAUCAAGUGGCCAUCUCGAUGGGAUGCGUAUUUGAAGAUGGAGGGUUCAAAAGUUCAUUGGUUUUCGAUCUUGAACUCUUUGAUGGUGAUAACGUUUCUCGCUGGUAUUGUUCUUGUGAUCUUCUUGAGGACCGUUCGACGAGAUCUUACACGUUACGAGGAGCUUGAUAAGGAGGCUCAGGCACAGAUGAACGAGGAGUUAUCGGGUUGGAAGCUUGUCGUGGGGGAUGCUUUCCGUGCUCCAGCCAAUCCUGCACUUUUGUGUAUUAUGGUUGGUGAUGGGGUUCAGCUUCUUGGGAUGGGAAUUGUGACCAUAUUGUUUGCUGCUCUUGGGUUCAUGUCCCCAGCAUCCCGUGGAACACUUAUUACAGGCAUGCUAUUUUUCUAUAUGAUUCUCGGCGUCGCAGCCGGCUAUGUUGCUGUACGUCUUUGGAGAACUAUCUGUUGUGGUGACCACAGAGGAUGGGCUUCAGUGUCAUGGAAGGCUGCUUGUUUCUUCCCUGGUAUUGCCUUUCUAAUUCUCACCACGCUGAAUUUUCUAUUAUGGGGCAGUCAAAGCACUGGAGCCAUUCCAUUGUCGCUCUUUGUUAUUCUACUUUUGCUGUGGUUCUGUAUAUCAGUUCCUCUUACUCUUGUUGGUGGCUAUUUUGGUGCCAAGGCACCUCAUAUUGAAUAUCCUGUUAGAACCAACCAAAUCCCACGGGAAAUACCACCCCAGAAAUACCCAUCUUGGCUCUUAGUCCUUGGCGCCGGCACUCUUCCUUUUGGCACCUUAUUCAUAGAACUCUUCUUCAUCAUGUCUAGCCUCUGGAUGGGUCGUGUUUAUUACGUUUUCGGGUUUCUCUUCAUCGUGUUUGUGCUUCUUAUUGUGGUUUGUGCUGAGGUAUCUCUGGUUGUAACCUAUAUGCAUCUUUGUGUGGAAGAUUGGAAAUGGUGGUGGAAGUCUUUCUUUGCUUCUGGUUCAGUUGCCAUAUACAUCUUCUUGUACUCGAUUAAUUAUCUUAUCUUCGAUCUUAAGAGCUUGAGUGGACCUGUCUCAGCCACUCUCUACCUCGGUUAUUCACUCUUCAUGGUUCUUGCAAUCAUGUUCAUAACUGGAACGGUUGGAUUCCUCUCGUCCUUCUGGUUCGUUCAUUACUUGUUCUCUUCUGUGAAGCUGGACUGAGUAACCUCCUCAUACCCAAAAUCCAGCAAGCAUCAAGACGUUUCGUGGCGUGUUCGAGGAGCUAAAGCAUUUUUGUUAGAAAAGACUAAUGUUGCAAUGCCGUUGAUGAAAGGGCAAAAGCCAAGGGAGAGAACCAAUUCAAAACAAAUAAUAAGAAGCCAACAAUGGGAUGAAGAUUUUAAUGCACUGAUGUUUAUGAUUCUGCUUUGAACCAAUAAACGUCACAGAUGAAACGAUUCCAAAUGAAUAUAUAAAGGAAGAUGAUUCAGCUUGAA